rnacentral:misc_RNA from 1 species
GUUUAUUGUAUACACAUGUUAUGUUAUGAUUAAUAUUCGUGGAGCGAUAUUUAGUAUAAAUAUUAUAAAAAAAUGUUAUUCAUCACCAUCUGUUCAGUCUUUUUUGCCUCAUUUCACCUUACAAAAUAGUUAUGCAAUCUCUUUUCUAAAAUUACGUUGUUACAGUAGAAAGAGCGAAGAAAUGUCUGAAUCUCACGAUUCUCAGUCUCCACAUCAUUCAGUACAUGUUGACUCUCACUCGUUUCAUUUUCAGUCGUCUUUUCCAAGUUCUUGCGAUUCUGAUAGUUGUGUAACUGCAAAUGUAGAUGGAUUAAACAAGAAUGCUCCAUCGACAUUAAACAAUUCUACUAUGGAUAACAAUCGAAAUUACUGUACUAGUACCAGUAGUAUUGAAUCCAAUGUUAGCAGUAAUUUAACGCCAGUUGUUAUGGAUGAAGUACCAUAUAGAACGAUCACUGAAGGAAAAGCUGAAGUAUUAUUUCCAACUACACAUGACGUUUUUUAUAAUCCAGUUCAAGAGUUUAACAGAGACAUGAGUGUUGCUGUUAUAAAGACAUACGUGAAAGCAUGCAGUCAAAGUACUGGGACAAAAUGUGGAAUUGUAGAAAAUCAGUCUGAGCAGGAAUUAGAUAGUGUUCAUACAGCAGCAAAUAAAAAAGUAUUUCAGGGAGAAAUAAGGGUGUUAGAGGCCUUGGCUGCAUCUGGCCUAAGAUCUGUACGAUAUGCAAUGGAAGUACCUAAUCUGACUCAGAUUAUUGCAAAUGAUGUCUCUCAUCAGGCUGUAGAAAGCAUGAAGAGAAAUAUCAAACACAAUAAACUAGAAGGAAUUAUUAUCCCAAGCAAAGAAGAAGCUGCGUUGUUGAUGUACCAACAUCGUUCCUUUAGCAGAAGGUUUCAUGUUGUCGAUUUAGAUCCAUAUGGUAGUCCCUGCCAAUUUUUGGAUGCUGCUGUCCAGGCUGUACAUGAUGGAGGGUUAUUGUUGGUGACGUGUACUGACAUGGCUGUUCUGUGUGGAAAUAGUAGUGAGACCUGUCGAGCCAAAUAUGGAGCUGUGUCUUUAAAGAUGAAGAGUAGUCAUGAAAUGGCUCUACGGAUAGUUUUACAAACCAUUGAGAGCCAUGCCAAUCGUUAUGGGCGAUAUAUUGUUCCCUUGCUUUCCCUUAGUGCUGACUUUUAUGUGCGAGUUUUUGUUAAAAUCCAUACCAGUCCAACAAUAGUGAAGCAAAGCACAAGCAAACUAGCUAUGGUGUUUCUAUGUUCUGGAUGUGAAACAUAUAAUCUUCAAUACUUGGGAAAGUGUAUAGAAAAGGAAAAGGGUUUCAAGUUUUCUCCUGGGGAUGGACCACCAGUAGAGAGGUUGUGUCUGCAAUGUCAACACAAACAUCAGGUGGACCAAUAUGGGCAGCAAACCUGCAUGACAAACAUUUUCUGUCAUCUAUGUUACAGCAAAUUGGAAAUGAAGAACACAGCUAUGGAACAGCAAAGAGGAUGAUUGGAAUUUUGAAUGUAAUUUUAGAAGAACUAGAAGAUUGUCCAUUGUAUUAUAGUCUGGAUAGGUUGUGUGCUGUUGUCCAUUGUAUUACUCCCAGCUUGUUGCAAUUCAGGUCAGCCAUUCUAAAUGCUGGUUACAAGGUUUCACUUUCCCAUACAAACAGAACAU